ACUAAACGAGACUCGCUUUUCCCUUCAACUGUUUCUUUCACUGAUUCUCUCUAUUCUCGAUUCUCGUUGUGCUGAGCUUGCUGUCCAUUGAAGUAAUAAACAGGCUGCUUGAGCUGGAACUGAGGUUGCCCUUCAUAAACUGAGAAUCAAAUGGAAACUGGAUUCGAUUUAUUCACUGGAUUGCUGGAGAGCUCUGUUGUGGAGCAUCUCAUUUCUCUUUUUCUCUGACUCUUUAUAAUCUCAAUGCUAUUCUCUUUUUACAGAAUUGAUCAGCAUGCAUCUGGUGAACUUAUAAAACGAGACGAGAAUCAAAUGGAAACUCGAUUGGCUUUAUUUACUUCUUAGUCUGGAGCUGAGUCCAGGACCCGGUCUUGUAGUACCCCAUAAGAGACACCUCUUUCUCUUUGCCUGUUAUCUCAACUCUGUUCUCUGGAUUGCAUUUAUUCACUGGAUUGCUAGCUUAAAUAUUUUCUUUCGACACAUUCAAUUUGACUGGGACAAGUAGCAGAGCGUCUGCUUAAGCACUUGCAGUAGAGUCUAUAAUUUGGGCAUGAAUUAAUUUGCCAUGUGGAGCGAGAGGGGAUCAUCAACUAAUGAAAUGGGAACUGUGAAAGCAAACAAGCUGCUAAUCAACCAGGAAAACACCAAAGCUCGAGUGCAAAGCAUCUUCAACGUGAAUCGAGACGGCAGCUGGAUGAAGGUAUUCCCAAUUAGACAUAAAUAAUAUGUGAGGAGUUUUGUCUAUUUCAUUAUAGUUGGCAUAAGCUUAUAUUAAUAUCAAGGUAUUGCUCAGGUAAGAGAGGAGGAGCCAUGGAUGGGUAGAGAAUAGAGCAUAGAGCAUAGUGAAUAGGUAAGGUUGAGUGGCUCAUCAGGAAUUCUGUGACAUGCGA